rnacentral:tRNA from 2 species
GUGGCCGUAGCUCAAGAGUUAGAGUUCCUGGCUGUGAACCAGGAGAUUCGGGUGCGAUUCCCGACGGCCACC